CUCGACGUUCUCCUGCUUGCUAGAAGACGGACGCUACAGCCUAUGGAGGGGCCUUUCCCUGACCGUGGAAACAGGUUUGAGUUACAGUGUCACCGAGGGACUUCCAUGGGUUUCCAGAGCAGGUCCAUGCAAGCUGUGACUGACUCAUUCUAACUCAAACAAAAGCAGAUUUUUCUCUGGAGUUGUCAACAUUUGAGCAGUCGAAGACCAGCACGGCUGGAUCCCAGAACAACAGCAACAGUCACAUGAGGGCCUCAGCGUGAACCGGGCCGGCCCAUGACCCGGAGCGGGACUGUAACUCAGAUACAAUGACCUCAUGAAGCACAGGGGAGCAGGCCUGUUCUCAGGCAAAACAAACCAUUUACAGGACGAAGCAGAAACUGUAAUCAUGUGAAAAAACUUUAAAUGCAUUAAAAACUGA